rnacentral:rRNA from 1 species
GAUGAACGCUGGCGGCGUGCCUAAUACAUGCAAGUCGAGCGAACAGACGAGGAGCUUGCUCCUCUGACGUUAGCGGCGGACGGGUGAGUAACACGUGGAUAACCUACCUAUAAGACUGGGAUAACUUCGGGAAACCGGAGCUAAUACCGGAUAAUAUAUUGAACCGCAUGGUUCAAUAGUGAAAGACGGUUUUGCUGUCACUUAUAGAUUGAUCCGCGCCGCAUUAGCUAGUUGGUAAGGUAACGGCUUACCAAGGCGACGAUGCGUAGCCGACCUGAGAGGGUGAUCGGCCACACUGGAACUGAGACACGGUCCAGACUCCUACGGGAGGCAGCAGUAGGGAAUAUUCCGAAAUGGGCGAAAGCAUGACGGAGCAACGCCGCGUGAGUGAUGAAGGUCUUCGGAUCGUAAAACUCUGUUAUUAGGGAAGAACAAAUGUGUAAGUAACUAUGCACGUCUUGACGGUACCUAAUCAGAAAGCCACGGCUAACUACGUG